rnacentral:lncRNA from 1 species
GGAAACAGUUUUCAAAAGGUUUUUCUGUAAUUUGCAUCUUAGUAUUUCAAAACCUGUUUCUGUGGUUGAAACAUUUUAACUGAUAGAUGUGGAUAUAGUUUAAAUACCGAUUAUAUAAAUUGAACCUGUGAUGUGAAUGGUGUAUGAAUAUAUAAUUGUUAAUUAAUUUGAUUGUUCAUUUGGUUGUGGUUGUACCUGGGUUACUUCUUUACUUGUGUGACGCCGUGCAAAUACAGGGGAGACUCUGUCCGUGUGAACAGUGGAUUCCCUGUGUUUGUGGCGGAUCUGGCAUAUCUGGGGUCAGGCUUUUCAAAAAAAAAAAAAAAAAAAAAAAAAUUCAGAUGCUUUCCGCUAUGUUUUAAACUAAAAGGGACCCCGGGGCGUGACAGGUUGCAAAAAAUAUAUAAGAAUUUGUCCAAUGUCCCAUUCUUCAUUAGUUAUGGGAUUAUGCUGCAUUUUUCUCAUUAUAAAAAUAGUUAAAAUAUUUCUAUACUCAUAACAAUAUUGCAAACAUCUAUAUUGGAAUUCCAUCGGUGUUGAACAUUAACAAAAUAAAUUUUUUAUACUUUUGGCCCAUUUGUCGACAUAAGCUUUUAAAAAUCUUGUUUUCUUGGACCAGAACUGUGAAUAAACAUAUACAAUCUUUUAAUUUUUUAUUUGUGGACUAAUUAUUUUUAAUCCCCUAUGAACACACAAAUUAUAAUAUGACAUGCACAUUUAUUAUGAAAUUUGAAUUUAAGAUGGGAUGCAAAUUAUUUUUCAAAAUUUGAACCGCGGUUCUAUUAUUGCUAGCAUUAUCGAAACUAAUUGAAAAAAUUUUUUGGCUAAUGUUAUAAAUUAGCAAACAUUUUCAAUUGCCUGAGCAUAUUAAUACCAGUAUGUGGAAACUCAAGUUCUUGAAACCCAAUAAUUCGUUUUUGUAACUAAUCCAUUAGAAUCAAUCCAAUGUGCAGUAACACAAAUAAAACUACGCUCAUUCUUGACGUCCAAAUAUCAGCAGUAAGUGAAAUUUUUGAAUUCAAAUUUCUAAAAUUGAAGAUCACAAAUUUUGUCUAUAUUCAAGAAAUGCUUUUAUUGAGUCUUUGCGACUAGUAUUUCGAGAAGUUUUUUUAUAUGCGGGAUUUAAAACUGUUUUCACAUAAUGUUCAAAAUAUGGACAUUCGGCAAAUGUAUAUGGUUGUUCAGCUCCUACAAUAUAUAAUGCAAGUUCUCUUCUAUUACGUUCAUGAGAAUAUUGAAAUGUACUAACUCCACUAGAAGUAAAAGCAAGUUGAGAUUGUUUUGCCUCUUUACCUUCUUUUACCUUGUGUUUCUGAAUAUGUCUGUUAAGAUGACCUGUUCCACCAGAACUAUCACAAGAAUAGUGAAUUCCACAUAUAGUACAAACAGCUCGCAUGCCUUGUCCUUCAAUAUCUUUGAUAUUGAAGUACUUCCAUACUUCACUUGUUCUCCGUUUAGAUGUCUUUUUAGAACUUGCAUCUAAAUUUGGUUUAGGUUGCGAGUCGUCAUCACCUUGUGUAGCACUAGAACCGCCGACUCCAGUUUCUGAUUGAUUACUAACAUAAUACUUAGGAGUAUAAUCAGUGCAAGAAAAAUCUAUAUGAGAAAAUUCACCCGACAUUGUUAUAAAAAAUAAAUACAAUAAUACUAAAAAAAAUUAAAUAAAAAUAUUUUAAAAUUAAAAACUAAAAAAAUAAGAGAUUAAUUAUUGUGUUGAAAUUAAAAUUUUGUAUGGUAAAAUUGUGGAGAGACUUUGUAAAAAAAAAAUUGUUGAAAAAUAUUAAAAAUAUUUGCAAAGUAAACUUGAGAGUUGAGAGAGAAAAGAAUUUAAAUUGAAAGUUUAAGAGUAGGAAGUGUUUGUAGAAGAAAAUAAAUGAAGAGUAGUUUGUUGUGAUGAAUUUGAAUGUAUGUAGUAGUAUUUAUAGAUAUAAAAAAAAUUUAAAAAAUAUAUAUAAAUAUUUUUUACCUUUUGACCAAAAUGCCCUCUUUAACAUUUAAAUUUUUGAAUGUUAGUGAGGGCAUUAUGAUAAUUUUGAUCAAAAAAAUAUAUAUUUUUAAUUUUUUUAACAUUCUUUUCGAAAAAUAAUAAAAAAAAAUUUUGAAAAAGAGAAAAAAAAACCCAACGGCACAAUAGCCGUUGGGCCCACUGUCCAAGGGUCUGCAGACCCUGCAGACCCUUGGACAGUGGGAGCCUGGCUGCCUGGGAGGCCUAUAAAGCCUAAAGGCUAGGCCUAGCCUAAUGCCAGCCUUGCCAGGCCAGCUAUUCGGGCCGUGCCGGCCCGGCAGGCACGGCCCAUCCGGGCCGUGCCGUGCCGGGCUGCGGGCCGAGCCUUCGGCCCGGCACGGCCCAAGCCCGACACGGGCCCUGCCGUGCUGGGCCUACGGGCCGCAAAGGCUCGGCCCAGCACGACCCGUGGAGUCGGGCCGGGUCGGCCCGGCACGGAUGCUACAGUAGCCGUGCCGGGCCAUGGCCCGGCCCGCUGUCGUGCCGGGCCGGGCGGGCCACGGGCCGCCCGGCCCGUUUUACACCCCUAGGUGCACGUGCACCUAGGGAUGUCAAUGGUAUGAAUAUUCGAAAUUUUAUCCGAAUCUAAAUUCGAAUCCGAAUAAAAUGAAUAUAUUCAAUGAAUAUAAAUAUAGAUUUAGAUAUGGAUAUCAAAAAUAAAAACUCGACGGAUAUGAAUUCGGAUAUGAAUUUUGAUUGUACCUGACUCGAGUCCGAACCCGACCUGAACUCGAAUUUAUUUUGUAUUAUAUAUAUAUAUAUAUAUAUAUAUAUAUAUAAAUUUCAUGUUAUAUUUGAAUUUGUAUUUAAAAAUUUAGAUUUAAUAUAAUAUAUUUUGAAAUAUUGAAAAAAGAAAUAAUUGUUUCAGGUUCAAAUUUUCGGGUUCAGGUUCGGAUUUCGGAUUUUUAGUCGGGUUCGGGUGUAAGGACUGAGAUUUUUUUUACAGUGCAACUAAACUCUCUGUUGACGAUGUUUAUGUGUGUAAUUUAAUUACAUAAGCACUCGUCAAGUUUCAGGAGAAAAUGAGCAAGCUCUUUCACGCGAUUAUUCAGUUUUCAAUUUAGUGAAUAUAACGCUCCGUUUUCCGGAGAAGCACGGCAUAUAGUUGGCUUCUGUGCGCUAUCGGAUCCGUUUUCAUAUCAGUCCAGUAUAGCUCAUUGUCGUAAGCGAUUCAGACUAUUCUGGAACUCUGGCCUCGCCCCGGGCAAUUUUGGAGUUCUCCUUGAUGCACCGGAUUGUCGAUGAAAAUCCGAAGAAAUACAUGUACUACUCCUGUUGAGCUUUUGUGUGAUGUGUCCUUCUAAGAUUGAAAAAGGUGCAUUCUGCUUUGUGAACAUCCGUUGAGGUCGAUCGAGAUUAAUCGAAGGUCUGCAGCUUGUCGUUGUCCCCGAGGCUGCUGAUGCGCCACCUGGUGUAAUUCCGUUCCCCUAAACUCUGACGGACUGUGAUCUGCGGAGCUCACGCCCGUGUGAUUCGUAGCGAGAGGUCGUGCUUGGGUCAAAAUCGGGGCCUCAAUCCUUCGCAAAACCCGUCGCGACAUGUGUAUGUCACCCGGUUUCGGCUGCUCGAAUCGCACGUAGAGGGAUCUCGCCCAGUCGGCCGGCGCCGUUUUUACUUGUGUCUGUGAGCGGGGACUGGUAUACGCGAUAUGACCCCAAAGCUUUCGUGGACUUUUGUGCAAAAGUGCACCUUUGUAUAAAAUGUGCAUCUAGGGUUUUUUCUAUGCAUCGAAACCCUAGAUCUGGCCGACCUUGUCCCCCAUCCGUGUGCCCUAUCCCCGACACCUCUGCAGUCCGCCCGUCUGUCCCGUGAGGCGCUCCCGCCCACUACCUGUAACACCCCGCCGGGCCGCCGACGGCUUUGCAUCCUCCACCUCCUCCAUUGCUCCUUGCUUCACCCAUCUUCACCCCCCUUGUCUGCUACCCAGGGUUGAACCCACACCCUCCGGUUUCACCUCUGACAAGCAAGCCCGACCUACCUUGGCGCCAUCUCUGUCGGCCGCCCGCCACCCCCGAGCGCCGCCGCCAGGCCGCAUGGCAAUCCUGCGGCCAAGCCUCGGCCGCAGUUAUCCGGCCUGACUUGAGGUGAUCUCCCCCUCUCUCCCGUCUCACACCUGCUGGGCCAUAUGCUCGGCAUACGCCGCUAUUCUCCGGAUGCCCCGUGAACCCCGUGCAUCAUCAGCCGUCCGUCCUUGCGGGCCGCCGUGCUCCUCUGUCACUCGCGGCCCGCCCCCAGGUCUGCUCGGGCCCAGAUGACCUGUCCCGCGCCGCCUCCGUGCGCCGCCGCCUCGGCCUUUAGCCGUGCGGCCGCUCCCCUCGCUCGCGACGGAGUUCCUCCGUCCCCAAAGCCUUCCCCCUGCCGCCGUGGCCUGUAGCACCCUGUGACCCCGAGCCGAGCCCGUGAGAGCUCAGGAGCUCUCACGCCGCCUGCGGCGCCUCUCGCUCGCGCCGGUGGAGCACCACUCCGCCUGGCCGGUCUGCCCCGUCACGCCGAGACGCUGCCUGCCGGAGCUCGCUGUCACGCUGCGGAUGAGCCCAUGCUCCCCACGGUUUUGGUUGGCAGGGCACGUGUGGCCGUCGUCGCCUCGCCGGCUUCCGUCCCUGCUGACUCGACGUCCUGCGGCCUCCUCCUGACCUGGAUUCACCUUCCCCUUGGGCCGUCCUGUCCCGCCGUCCGACCUCCCCGGCCCACCCCGUGCCCUGCUAGCUCCGAAGUCUUAGUUUAGCUUUCUGCACCUGUCUUGGGCUUCCGGUAAUCCGAUGACUCCCCGACACCCCGGGAGGUGAGCACGAUGAUCGUGGGCUCGUUCUGAACACGAUGCUCACCUCCGUUUGGGUUAAUGGUGCCCGGUUUAGUGAGUUAAGGGCAAUCUUUGCGCUGUGCGCGCUGUUUCGCUGAAUUCCGCGUCGCUCGUGCGCGCGUCGCAGUGGCUGGCAGUGCUCCGUAAGGUGAGCACGGCCUCUGGCACGCUGAAACCUAUCAGCGAGAGCGAUGUUUGUCCUAAUCGACCCCUGGUUUGCGUGUACGAUCCAUAAAAGCCAUGAAAUCACAUAAAAUAAUGUGAUUUCAUGUGUCGAUAGGGGCUUUUAUGCCGUUUGAUUCGUCGUAGCUGCUGUUGGCAGCGAAUUAGGGCUGAGGAUAACCUCUGGACUGAUCGUCCAAGGCCCCAAGCCUUUGCAAGUGUCGGAAAGAGAUUUUCGGCGCAUUUCUCGGCGAAAUCCGCCGACGGAACGCGGGAUCGGUUCGAAUUCUUUCCGACAGUGUUUCGUGAGGAAUUGUGUAGUCGCUGAGCCUUGUCGGCUGGUCACUCGCAUCAUUUUGAGGGUUCUGAAAUGAUGGGUGAGCGACGGUAGGUUCCGGUGUCGAAAUAGACACUUCCGGAAACCCGGAUUCGUACGAUUAUCCGGCGAUGAUCGUAUGGUUGUGUCACCUCGUGUCCGCUGCCAAGGCAUCCAAAUCAGAGUGUUUUGGGGCAGCGGGUGACUCGUGGCACGAGUCGGAGAGUUCGGGACACUUAGUGGGUCCCGACGGCGUCCCGGUGUGGUUUUCGGGACUUCCGGUGAGUUACGAUGAUCGGUUUCGGGAAACCGAUACGGGGUUCUGUGUGGGGUUUGUGAGACAGUGUACUUCAGGUGAGUGGGUUGGUUACUGACCCGUGGGAUCUUCGUAGGUCCGGUUGACUUGUGCGUACCCAGUGUUCCGACGCGACAGUGACAGGUGGGUACUUCGAUCCGAAGUCGGUACAGUGGUGCACGCUCGGUGAUAUUCUUCUAUCCCUGUUCUUCUGUGCUAUUUUCGUAUUAUAUAUUGAGCUUGCAUCCCCGUUGUUUCUAUUAUGCUCUACUCAUAUGUUCUAUGCUUAGUAUCAUGUGUAGGAGUAGAGUAGUUUAUCCAUAUGUGAUAUCGGUGACCUGAUUGGUCGGUUCUCGUACUUCGUUUCGGUAACCUAGUUGAUCGGUGCUUUUAUCUUAUAUCUGUUGACCUGGUUGGUCGGUCGUUGCAUUAUGUAUUGGGUUGGUCUGUUUCUUGACUUCUGUUGUUCGAUGACCUUUGAGGUCGGUGUACCCUGAGGGGUAGGAUUGUCGGCUGGUGCUGACGGUAGUUCUGGACUAUAUCGAAUACACUCCUGUGACCUAUCGGUCGGUUCUUGCGUUCGUACUUUUAGUUGACAUCGAGCAGUAUCUACAUAUUAUCUUUAUUUACUCUGCCUGGUUGUUCUAUGUGUAGUAUCCUGUAUAGGGGUAGAAUAGAUGGCAUUCGUAUAUACUAUACUUGUGACCUGGUUGGUCGGUUCUCCUGUUUGCAUCGAUGACCUGUUUGGUCGUUCGUUACUUUCCGUAUAUUGACCUCUCUUGGUCGGUUCACGUUGUUACUUGAUGACCUACACGGUCGGUUAGCCCCGAGGGGCAGUGAUUGUCAGCUGAUUGCCGACGGUUGGCUAUUGAUCAUAUCCGCAUUGAUCGCCACAGCUCGAGUGCAUUUCACGUACACNAUUAUUAUUACCCUCAUAAAUAAUCUGACCUGAUAUCAAACAAAAACCUAUUCAAGAGCCUAUCCAAACCAGGCAGAUAGAAGAAGGAUCAUCCAGCCACCAACAGCCAAAGACACCUUUUAUCAAGUAGGAUGAGACAGUUCAAGAACACAUUGCAACACUAUUACCAACAGAUAUAUUAGCCGCGUUACAGACAGGGCAACAAAGACAAGAACAGAACAAAGGAACUAAGACUCCAUCCUCUUCACAACAGCCAAUUGAUACAAAAGGCAAGAAGAAAAUAAAAUAAAGAAAAGAAAAGGAAAAUAAUAUAGAAAAAUUAUUGGUACACUUAUUACAAAGAUUAGAAGUUCCAAGAACAAUAACAGAAGACAUUCAAUAUCCGCAGCCAAGUUCUAGCAAAUCAACAGUUCCCUUAGAAGUAGCAUCUUCUGUUUUUCCAUCUCAAGACCAAGACACUGGAUCUGGCACCAGCAUAUCAAAUGAUAGUAUUAUGAUGUAUAAUUUAGAUACUAUAGGAUAAAAAAGAAAUUUCGGCUGUCAAAAAUAGGCAAAAUUGGGAUCCCCGCUGUGAGAAAACCCUUGUGGCUCACAGGCAAAAAUUAGGAAAAAUUAUUAAACUAAAAACUAAAAAUCAUUCCUCAAAAUACAUUCUCCAAAUUUCUCCAAGGAAAAAGACAAAAGCACUACUAUUUUCUAUAAAGCAUCUACAGGACAACAUCUGCUUUUCCAAAAGAAAGAGCAUCUUCUACAAGAUGACAUCUACUUUAAAAAAGAAGACGACAGAAAUGACAACUCAUAAGGCUCUCCUUUACACCUAGCAUCCACUCAGAGGCAUCUUUACAACCAGCAACUUCUCAGCACUUUCAAACCCUUUCUUCCAUCACUAUAAAUAGAAGGCUUCUCCACCAACACAAGGCAUAGAGAACAUCAAGAGUGAGAACAAGAGAGCCUCUAAGAGCAAUAGUUUAUGGCUUCCUUUGUUUCUUUUCUUCUCCGUAUAUUUCCCCAUCUAUUCUUAGUGUAUAAAGUUUGAGAGUCUUGUAAACAAGUUCCUCCUCUUUUCGGGCCUUCUCGAAAGGGAAACCUUCUUGUAUCUAUAAUCAUGUAAGUCUUUACAUUUCUUGUUUAAUAUAUUUUUUCUUGUUCUUCUAUCCAUUAUAUUUUUCUGAGUGGAUGCUAGGUGUAAAAGAGAGCCUUCUGAGUUGUAAUUUCUAUCUUGUCUUCUAUUUUAAAGUAGAUGCCGUUUUGUAGAAGAUGCUCUUUCUUUUGGAAAAAUAGAUGCUGUCCUGUAGAUGCUUUCUGGAAAGUAGUAGUGUUUGUGUCGUUCCUUGGAGAAUGUAUUUUGAGGAAUGGUUUUUAGUUUUUAGAUUAAUAUUUUUUCCUAAUUUUUGCCUGUGAGCCACAAGGGUUUUCUCACAGCGGGGAUCCCAAUUUUGUUUGUUUUUGAUACCUGGGAUUUUUUUUUUUAACCUUGUAGUAUCUAAAUUAUGUAUCAUAAUACUAUCAUUUGAUAUGCUGGUGCCAGAUCCAGUGUCUUGGUCUUGAGAUGGAAAAACAGAAGAUGCUACUUCUAAGGGAACUGUUGAUUUGCUAGAACUUGGCUGCGGAUAUUGAAUGUCUUCUGUUAUUGUUCUUGGAACUUCUAAUCUUUGUAAUAAGUGUACCAAUAAUUUUUCUAUAUUAUUUUCCUUUUCUUUUCUUUAUUUUAUUUUCUUCUUGCCUUUUGUAUCAAUUGGCUGUUGUGAAGAGGAUGGAGUCUUAGUUCCUUUGUUCUGUUCUUGUCUUUGUUGCCCUGUCUGUAACGCGGCUAAUAUAUCUGUUGGUAAUAGUGUUGCAAUGUGUUCUUGAACUGUCUCAUCCUACUUGAUAAAAGGUGUCUUUGGCUGUUGGUGGCUGGAUGAUCCUUCUUCUAUCUGCCUGGUUUGGAUAGGCUCUUGAAUAGGUUUUUGUUUGAUAUCAGGUCAGAUUAUUUAUGAGGGUAAUAAUAAUGGGUAGGCUGGAGGUAUUAUUUGUGUUGUCCUAUAGUGAAUAUUUACUCUUUGCCCAAAAUAUGGCUUAGACCUUUAAAUAAAAACACUGACUUUGUUCUAGGACUAAAUUUUAUUCUUGAUCAAUUAGGAGUAUUAAGUGUUAACAGAGAUUAUGUCAUUUCUAUAAGGGAAUAAUGCAAACACCUGUUCACUAUAAAAGAACAAGAACAACUAAUAUUAGUGAACCAUCUUCAAAACAAACUUGUUGUGCUAAUUGCUCUAAAGGAAAACCUUGUUGUCAAAAAUUCCAAACACAUGGGAUUAUAGAUUAUAUGAUAAAAUACUUGAAAAUCGACAUAAUGAAACUCAAGAAAAAUUCGAAGAUACUGAAGAAAUCGAUAUGUUUGAAUUUGAAGACUUUGAUUUUAAUUAUAAUUAUGAAAAAUUAUUAGAUGAAAAUUAUAUAAGCUGUGAUUAUUCUGCUGAUUAUGUAAACUGGAAAAAAAUGUGAUUACAUAUAGAGUUUUGAAAACAAAUUUAAUUCUCUACGGGGCGUAUUAUCACAAUCCUUAUCUUUUUCUUCUUGGGCUUGAUCCUUAUAAUCAGUAAACCUAACAAAAUGUCUUCCUUUUUCAUUUUUAUAAUAAAUAGUAUCACUUGGGACUUAGGGAUGUAAAAUGGGCCAGGCGGCCCGUGGCCCGCCCGGCCCGGCACGACAGCGGGCCGGGCCAUGUCCCGGCACGGCUACUGUAGCAUCCGUGCCGGGCCGGCCCGGCCUGACUCCACGGGUCGUGCUGGGCCGAGCCUCUGCGGCCCGUAGNCCACCACUAUAAAUAGAAAGCUUCUCCACCAACACAAGGCAUAGAGAACAUCGAGAGUGAGAACAAGAGAGCCCUUAAGAGCAAUAGUUUAUGGCUUUUUUUGUUUCUUUCCUUUCUCUGUAAAUUUUCCUAUAUCUUCUUAGUGUACAAAGUUUGAGAGUCUUGUAAACAAGUUCCUCCUCCUUUCGGGCCUUCUCGAAAGGGAAACCUUCUUGUAUCUAUAAUCAUGUAAGUCUUUACAUUUCUUGUUUAAUAUAAUUCUUGUUGUUCUUCUAUCUAUUAUAUUUUCCUUGCAUCAUGUAGGCCUAUUAUCUUGAACCGACCCUAGGUUAUGCCAGGAUUUCUCUUUGAAUGAAUACUUCAUCUUGAUCAGCUAUAAGACAUAUACGUUUGGUAGAUUUCGUAAGAGCUUGAAUAUCUAUUUAGGUCGUCAUGCCAACACUAAGGCGCUCUGCUGUUAGAUGAUCUAAAAGCUCUGAAAACCGUAUGCUAGGAGGGUCUUGUGCAUCAUCAGUCUAUCUCAAGUGGUAUUCAUCUAACCCAAAGUCCAUUAGUAUAGCCAACCCUAGGAGCAAGCUUUUAGGUCACUUGUAGAAGAUGGACCAAACAGUUAGUUGGUUUUACAUAACAAGUCAUGCUACCAGUUACCAAACAUUAGCAUAUAGAUUUCCAUGAAGGAAAAUGUCGAGCAAGAAUAAGUUGAAUCUCUUUCUUUUGUCCCAUUGCCAUACGAAAAGCCAAAGCCUAGUGCUUAUUCCUUUUAUUAAGCUUCCGGUGCUUUCUUGUAGGGCACUGGAUACUGUUUCCAAGAUAAUCAAUAGAGUUGCAACUUGCAACCAAGGUUUAAAGUGCCGUGGCAUGGGGGCAUGCCGUUAUGUCCCUGGCAUGGUACGGCACAGGCACGCUUGCGUGCCGACACUUGGCACGCUUGCGUGCCGAUAGAUACGCAUGACCUCCUACUGGUAUGCUUUGGCACGUACUUAUUUCAGUUUUUUGGUUCUAAUAAACUCUUAUAAUAUUAUUUUGAAAAAUUUAAAUAAAUAAUUAUAAAUAUUUACUAUGUAUACCUUACUAUACUCAUCAAUUAACAUGUAUGUAAGCUUUUUGUAAGUAAAGUACAACUAUACCUGAUGUAGAAUAGAAAUUAAAAUACAAUAAUAAAAUUCACGAGUACAAUAAUUAUUUAAAUUUACAUCUUUAUAUCGAGAUGAUUGCUUAAUUCCACAUAGAUCGUUGAGUUUGAUCAUAUGACAUAUUGUCAUCUACAGAUACAAGAUUUAUUUGACAAUGUUGAUAUAAGUAUUGCUGGUAUUGUGAGAAAGUCAUAUAUUCCUGAUAUCACAUCCAUAUUUUUUGUUCUUUUAUUUUUUAAAAAAAUAUCCGAUCAAAAUUUGUUUAGGGGAUUGAUUUUUGUUCCCCUGAUUCACCGAAAGCUUUGGGGUUCGACAAAUUUUGACAAAAUAUUUUGCGAAGAAAAAUUGAAUGUCUGUGGUGGAAGUGGAGGGCUCAUGCCGCGAGACAGAGGAGGGGUCCGAGACCCCCCGUACUGUGGCCCCUUCUUGGGGGCAUGGUNAGGUCCUUAGACCGACACGGCGGUUUAGAUUGGGUACUUUUGGGACUUCUCGUCCGGUUGACGCAUAUAGCUAUAGUAGCGGUUGUUGCAUAUGUACAUCUAGUUCUUUCUUUACAGUUGUCUUGCUACUAUAAUUUUGAUAUCCUUGCAUGCUUGCAGUUGUACAUUACAGUAGCGGUAGUUGUGCUUUAUAUAUAUAUAUAUCUCGUUCGUUCAUUAUCGUUGCUACUGUAUUUUACUUACCCAUACUGUUGGUUAUCUCUUCCUGAUCCGGUGAGUACUCCUCGCCUUCUUCGGCUUGCGGUACCCACUGGGAGGGGAGACAUGUUUACAUGUUCUCACCUCCCCCACUGUUUUUCAGGUAUUGCAGGCAUUGGGUUUUGGGACGAGACGUGAGGUACGUUUGUAGCGGUCGAUAGAGCUUUCGACCCAGGUUAAUUCGGUUUACUUCCUUACCCUUCUUAUUUUGGCUGAUGAAUAGUCUAGUUGGUUUAUGUGGUUCAGUGUUCAUUUACAUUUGAAAAUGUGGAUUUCUGGAUUUUGUAAAAUAAAAAGUUUUCUACCCCUCGUAGUAGCAUUUUUAAAGAAUGAAGGUUCCUGUGUAGGGAACAGUUUUCAAAAGAUUUUCUAUGGAUUUAUAUUUAGACAUUGAAUGCAUAUCUGUGAUGUGAAUGGUGAAUGUAUGAAUGUAUGGUAAUUUCUAUAUUCAUAUAGUUGUGGUUGUAUCCUGUUUGUACUGUUGUACUUGUGCGACGCUGUGCAAAUACAGGGGACACUCUGUCCGUGUGAACAGUGGAAUCUCUGUAUUUGUGGCGGGUCUGG